GACGGAAGGUGCAAGCGUUGCUCGGAAUCACUGGGCGUAAAGGGUGCGUAGGCGGCCGUGCAAGUCUGGCGUGAAAGCCCCGGGCUCAGCCCGGGAAGUGCGCUCGAAACUGCGCGGCUCGAGUGCCGGAGGGGAGAGUGGAAUUCCUGGUGUAGCGGUGAAAUGCGUAGAUAUCAGGAGGAAUACCGGUGGCGAAAGCGACUCUCUGGGCCGUAACUGACGCUGAGGAGCGAAAGCAUGGGGAGCGAACAGG
rnacentral:rRNA from 1 species